UUUAGCUACAGGAAUAAAACAGUGAAGGGAGUGGGGCAACGUUGCAUCUUCAUCACAAGAUGCUAUUUCUCUUGCCUCUUCUGUGCCAUCUUCACCCAUGGGUCACUACCAAAGGUUGGGAUCCUGACUCCCCCAGUCCAUACCUACUACAACAAAGACACUUGAUGAGAUAUUUAAUGAUACUAAAGGAGAAGAAAAAGAAGCUUCAGAUAAAUCCGUGGCCUCCAGUGUGCAGAAGCAGACGGUGCUACGACCACGUUAUUUCAUUUCUUGGUAUAUCAUUGCUCAGGAUUUUGUGCUUGGGACAAGCUAUAAAUGAUGGAAAAUUUCAACACAAAGAUAAUGAAAGCCAGGGAUAUUUAUAAAACCUGGGGUUGCUAUCGGAGAGGGGCCCAACUGGAGAUUUUGAGGAUGAAGCCCCUGCAUUCACAGCACUCUGGCGACUGGCUUGGAUUUGUGCGUAGACAGACUCACAGACCGAUUCGCACACUUGGAAGAAUUCGCUGGCUCCUCCUCACAGCUCCAAAACGCCGCCACGAACCAGAACUACCCCACCCCCCACCCCCAACCAGCGUGCCCGAGGUUCGGGUGCACCAGAAGUGAGCGAUGUAACUCACGCCCAUCCGCUGACUGCUGCUCGGGAGGCCCCACCUGGCUCUAGGCCUUGGGGAGGAAGCCGAGCCUGCCGAGGAAUGGGCGCUGGUCCGGUGGGAGUCCGAGAGCAGCCACGCGUGGCUCUGGACAGCGACGCCCGGGUCCCAGGUGCAGUCCCCUCCUUUCCUAUCUAGGUCCACGCUCUGGAUAGAGGGCUGGGGGCGUCAGGAGGGGAGCGACAGCCUCUGGCCCUACUUGGCGUGGGUCUGCCGCUGAAGGUCAGGGGUCCGGGUGGGCCCUUGUUGUCCGGCCGCAAGGCGAAGACAGCCGGGCGGCCAGUUUCCUCCUGGCGAGGCGGCGCCUUCAGGUUGGCCGCUGUCCCUCCGGCGCGGGGCGCUAACGAGCCUCCUAGCCAAUCCAGAGCGCAUUCUUCCCCGGGCUGUCUCCAUGACGACCACCUCAGCUUCUGCUCUGGACUGGAGUUCAGCCCGCUGAAAAGUUCGCGGGUCCAGUGGAGGCCCGGGGCACCGGGGCCGGGUCAGAGGGACCGGCAGUGGCCUCCAGGUGCCUGAGUAGUGCCCCAAAGCCUCGUCACACCCCGCGCCCGUUGGGCAAAAGGCCGCUCCUCCUCUUGGGGAGCAGAUGAUGCGGGACUCAGCAGGAUCUUAUCUCAGCCAGGGCAGAGGGGAAGAGGCCCAUCAUUAACGCCGAAUGCCUUCCACGUUGACUGCUUCAUCUUUAACAUCCACGUUGAUUUGGCCUUCGCCUCACAACGUGGAUUUGACCUUCAACUCCUCACCCCGCCUGCUGUGGGUUCAACUUUCUGGCUGGGGCCUCCCCCAUAACACAAGAAUAUCCAAGUUCCAGUCACUUAAAAUGUUCAUAAAAAACGUUCCACCCAAUGGUUUCCACGAAAACCGGUGAGAGGAGAUGGGACCCGGGGAAAGUACCUCGCUCAGAUCCGACACUGUUAAGCCAAGAGGACCAGUGAUUCCUGGAGCAAAAGGGAACUCGGGUCCCCUGACUUCCGUGCACUCUCGAGCCAGGAGGACAGGACUGGGGCGCUGAAUGGGGGCUGCGUAGCUUCUGCCCUCUGCUCCAGGUCUCAGGCCGAGCUGUGAGUCGGACGCCGGGGAAGCGAGUCUCAGCGCCCCGGCCUCUUCCUCAAGUAAGACCGAGCAUCUGCUUCAGUUUGGAGUUUCUGGGCGUCCGUCCCAAGAGCACUGGGCUCGAGUGCCAUCUGCUGGCCACUACGACCCUCUACUGCUCUAAAGUCAUCCGCGUAAUAUUAAUAAUAUGAACUCUAAUUUGGCAGGUUUUACCUGCCAGAACCAGGCUAGGCAAUUUACCUAUAUUAUGUCAAUUUAAUUUAACAGCCUAUGAGGUAGAUAUUCUCAUCUCCAUUUUACAUGUGAGGAAACAGGUUCAGAGAAUUUUAGAAACUUGCCAAGGUCAUUCAGCUACCAAGUGUCAGAUCCAGGAUUCAGGUGGCCUGUCUUAGGCGUGCUCUGGACCUCUGUGCACAUUCCCUCCCAUGUUAAAGUUGAGUCCCUGAUGAUCUCAUCUCCAAGGGUCCUCCAGUGGGCCCUUCCAGCCUGCCUCUAACCCUGUAUGCUCAGCAGUUUUUCCCUAGGCUUCUCAUGCCCCUCUGUGGACCACCCGCCCACCAGUCUUCAGGCCAGAUGCUGGCUGGCACUGAGACAGAUCUGAUGACAAAC
rnacentral:lncRNA from 1 species